ACGGGUGAGUAACACGUGGGUAACCUGCCUGUAAGAUUGGGAUAACUCCGGGAAACCGGAGCUAAUACCGGAUAACAUUUUGAACCGCAUGGUUCAAAGUUGAAAGACGGCUUUUAGCUGUCACUUACAGAUGGACCCGCGGCGCAUUAGCUAGUUGGUGAGGUAACGGCUCACCAAGGCGACGAUGCGUAGCCGACCUGAGAGGGUGAUCGGCCACACUGGGACUGAGACACGGCCCAGACUCCUACGGGAGGCAGCAGUAGGGAAUCUUCCGCAAUGGACGAAAGUCUGACGGAGCAACGCCGCGUGAACGAUGAAGGCCUUCGGGUCGUAAAGUUCUGUUGUUAGGGAAGAACAAGUACCAGAGUAACUGCUGGUACCUUGACGGUACCUAACCAGAAAGCCACGGCUAACUACGUGCCAGCAGCCGCGGUAAUACGUAGGUGGCAAGCGUUGUCCGGAAUUAUUGGGCGUAAAGCGCGCGCAGGCGGUUUCUUAAGUCUGAUGUGAAAGCCCACGGCUCAACCGUGGAGGGUCAUUGGAAACUGGGGAACUUGAGUGCAGAAGAGGAGAGUGGAAUUC
rnacentral:rRNA from 1 species